UUUAAGUAAUCAAAUUUAUUUCUUAUACAAAAAAUUCUGAAAUACAAAAUGUUCUGAAAGAAAAAAAUUAAAUUAUUUAGGAUAAAAUUCAUUUUAAUGCGCAAUAAUUGAACUUCGGUCAAAACAAUUUGUUCAUGUGAAAUUUAAACUCACACCCAUAGAAGCAGAUAUGUAUUUAGUCUCAGUAAUUACCAUCAAUAAAUAACAUACAAGCUCAACGGCAACGGAUCUGAGCUUAAUUGAAUCCUUACAUUCCACAAAAUGAAUAUGAAAAGGAUUGACGGCUUUUUUCGCGUGAUAAAGAAAUUACACCGAAGGUAUUGGCCAUAUUAUGUAAUUAUGCAACGCGAGCAUGUAAAAGUGCUGAGUGCACAUUUGAGCGCUCUCAGAAAUUUGUUUAGUUUAAUGAACUUAAUGCCAAAAAAUCAAGAUAUUUGUAUGUCCGGAUAUGGGGGGUGUGCUCAAAAAAUUUGGUGAAGUGUCCAUCGCUCAAACUAAACUGAAUCAACUAAUCUCAAAGCAGUCAAAAAAGCUUUUUUAGUACGAAAUGGCACCUUUCUAACGCCAUCCAGCGGAACCCGAUCGAACUUUUACAGCUCGAGAUACGGAUAAAUAGCGCAAUCUUAUUUGAAAAAUAACUGCACAUAAUAUAUGUAAAUUACGCUCACUUCCUCAACAGACCACGUAUGACAAACUGAUUGUGUUCUCGUAAGACCGGAGGCUAAUAUAAUAGCAGACCAACAAUUGUGAUGGACGGAAAUCAAGAUGAAAAUUAUUGGCUCCUUGUGAAAUGUACUACAGCGGCAAAAUAUAAGAGCGCAAAUUUUGUGUCGGUUUCGUGGUGGGAGAGGGACUUAGUCACUGAACCUGAGAUUCACCCUGAUGAAGCCUCGCCCUACAUCAAAAAGAAAGUCUUCAACAUGACUUGGGCUCACACCCCGACGGCUGUCAACUACGAUGUGACCAAAGACUCUUUCGCUAAAAAAGAGAAAGGGGACUUUACUUUUGAACUGUCCACUCAGCCCAAAGUGGAACCUGCAGGCAUGAUUGUUUCUACGCUGGAUUUCAAAGCUGACAUUAUUUUUGUUCUUGAUGUCUACGACAUCAAAAUUGAUGUAUAUCAAAUUCAGACAUAGCGGCGGAGAGGCAGCUUCUUACUGUAUUGUCGAAGGCAGCUGUAAAAUCGGGACUACCUUCCAGAGACUUACAAUCCAAACGACUCAUUUUCAAUAAGCAAUACUAUAUAUUUUCCCAAAAAAAAUUGCGAAAAUUUCAACUAAAUUCAUUAUCUAUUGAUUUCUAUGAGUGUAAUUUCGACACAAGCAAAAAUACAAAAUUCAAAUUGUGCAUAGCAAAAAGA
rnacentral:lncRNA from 1 species